rnacentral:lncRNA from 1 species
CACUCAGUUUCCUAUUUGUUAUCUCUACGGCACAAGCCCUGUAGAUAACUUCCCCUAGUAGUGUUUCACCCCCGGCAGUAGACACAAACAACAAUGAAUCAAGUUUAUCAGGUGAUACAUUAAUUUUGAAAGCCAAAGCAUGUGAAACAAAAGAGUGUGAUGCACCAGUGUCAAAUAAAAGAUGAGCAAUAUGGUCACAGAUAAUAUACAUACCCUGUACCACAUCCGGGUCGCCGUCGGCAUUCUGCUGGGAAAGGUUUAAGCUCUGCCCUGGAUAGGAGGCCUUCCUUUAUUCUGGUUCCUUGGGCAUUCUCUUGCAUAAUGUUGGGCACUGCCACAUAUGCGACAAGUGUUGUUGAGGCGGUAGCAUGGUCGGUCCCCGUGAUCCCUUCCACAGUGCUGGCAGAUCUUUCCAUGUGCUGCCCUUGGAGCCUGAGGAGGGGCCUGGAUCACUGGUCUGGGCCUCUUAUUUGAUUGGACUGACGUAGUAGGUGCUGGUCUGCGAGGUGGAGCAGAGGGUCGGUGACUCCCUGCUGACUAAGGACGGGUGUUGAAACUCCUCUCCACAAUCUGUGCCUUUGCUAGAACGGCUGAGUAUGUCUUGAGCUCCAGUACCAAUAAGUGUUGCUUAAUCUCUGGGCGGAGGCCCUACUGGAAUCUCCUGGCCUUUCUGCCCUCAUCCAUCAAUGUCUCUGGGGAGUAUCGGCCCAGCUCUAGGAACUUACGAGCAUAUUCCGAUACUAUAACUCCCUUCUCUCCUCUCGCCCUUGUUGGGUAGCUAUGAACCCUUCCAUCAUCUCAAAUAAUCUAUCUACAUCCUCCCGAAGCAAAUUAUCCUGGGCUGCUCGGCUUAGUGGGGGUCUUCCUCUCCUCAUUUCCUUGCACCUGUAUUUCAUAAGGAAUGGUUGAGUAACGAUUUAUCGAUGAGUAUUUCUCUAAGCAUUAUUGUGUAAGGGAUGGAUCCG